AGCGAACGCUGGCGGCAGGCUUAACACAUGCAAGUCGAACGGGCGUAGCAAUACGUCAGUGGCGGACGGGUGAGUAACACGUGGGAACGUACCCUUUGGUUCGGAACAACUGAGGGAAACUUCAGCUAAUACCGGAUAAGCCCUUACGGGGAAAGAUUUAUCGCCGAAAGAUCGGCCCGCGUCUGAUUAGCUAGUUGGUAGGGUAAUGGCCUACCAAGGCGACGAUCAGUAGCUGGUCUGAGAGGAUGAUCAGCCACACUGGGACUGAGACACGGCCCAGACUCCUACGGGAGGCAGCAGUGGGGAAUAUUGGACAAUGGGCGCAAGCCUGAUCCAGCCAUGCCGCGUGAGUGAUGAAGGCCCUAGGGUUGUAAAGCUCUUUUAACGGGGAAGAUAAUGGCGGUACCCGUAGAAUAAGCCCCGGCUAACUUCGUGCCAGCAGCCGCCGUAACAC
rnacentral:rRNA from 1 species